rnacentral:rRNA from 1 species
GAUGAACGCUAGCGGCAGGCUUAAUACAUGCAAGUCGAGGGGCAGCAUGGUGUAGCAAUAAACUGAUGGCGACCGGCAAACGGGUGCGGAACACGUACACAACCUUCCUUUAAGCGGAGAAUAGCCCAGAGAAAUUUGGAUUAAUACCCCAUAGUAUAUUGGUUAGGCAUCUAACUAUUAUUAAAGAUUUAUCAUUUGAAGAUGGGUGUGCGGCUGAUUAGGUAGUUGGCGGGGUAACGGCCCACCAAGCCUGCGAUCAGUAACUGGUGUGAGAGCACGACCAGUCACACGGGCACUGAGACACGGGCCCGACUCCUACGGGAGGCAGCAGUAAGGAAUAUUGGUCAAUGGACGAAAGUCUGAACCAGCCAUGCCGCGUGGAGGAUGAAGGUCCUCUGGAUUGUAAACUUCUUUUAUAUGGGACGAAAAAAGGCUUUUCUAAGUCGUCUGACGGUACCAUAUGAAUAAGCACCGGCUAACUCCGUGCCAGCAGCCGCGGUAAUAC